CAGGCAACACUCACUUUAAGAAAUUCUGUAGCAGGAUGCACCAACAAACCCUUCUGUUAUGUUUUGUUCCUAAGAUCUUUUCAGGAAGCCAGCAAGCUAACUUCCAGGGAAAAUGAAAAGACAAGAAAGGAAGACCGUAUGUCAAAAAGAACCUGUCUGGAAUGCAGAAGAGACAGACAUGUUUAGAGCAGCAAAGGAAGAGGAAGAAGGAAGACAUGCUACAGACAGAAGAGACUUCUGGAGUAAGAAGGUGAGUUAAAGACAAGUAGAAGCUGAAUGCAAUGAGAAGUGGUGCUGCAGGCAUCUGAGACUACAUGAAGACAGAAGUGAGCAGCCUGACUUUGUUUCCUGUCAGUACCAGUUACAGCAGCAUGCAACUGAAUUAACAGUCUGCUAUUUUCCAUUUGUCUAAAUGCAAACUUCAGAAUUAUAUUUCUUAAAUACAGGUCACUUGAAUAGACUUCAAAACAGUUGGAUAUUUCCAUAGAAAAUCCUUUUACCAAGACAGAAACUUGUAUAGUUUGGCUGGUGAACAAGCAUUAGAAAUCAGAGAUCAGUCAGAAGGUUUCUUGUUGCCUUGAAACUGGAAACUACCAAACCCUGGUUUAUGUUGGUUCAAAAUGAAGAGUAUUUUAAGGAAGACAUGCAAAAUGAGGAAUUCUAUUUUCAAGGGCAUGUCUGAGCUCAAUUUUCAUGGAAGAUCCAAUUAUGAACAUGUGGAAAUGAAAAGCUUGAUGCCUGUAGAUCCAGUGCCACAAAUGUCUAUCAUAGACAGUAUGAUUCAUCCUUGGGAACCUGCUGUAAACGAGACUGCUAGGACUAAGGACACAGAUUUGUCAGAACUCUUGAAAUUUAGAUCCCUUUAAGAUCUUAUCUGCUUCUCUAAAAAUGUCAACAAUCUCCAUUUCAUGUCAGUAUUCACUCUAAAACUGCAUUGGUCUCUCAUGAAAUAGGAAGAACCUUUAUGUAAAAGGUCGUGUUGUACAUGAUUUCUUGAUGUCUCUGAUGAUGUCCAGGUGUCCCUGCUUGAACAUGGAGGUUGGACCAGGUGACCUCCAGAGGUCUAACCUCAACUAUUCUGUGAUUCUGAGAUACAAUAGGAAGGAGGUAAUCCAUGGUAACAAGAAGAGGUAUCCAUUCUCUGUCUGAGCCAGUGUUUAGGCCCUGUGUUCCAGACAUCCCCAAGAAGUUAACAGAAUUCAGUGCCUGCAAGAGCACACAAGUGUUCUCAGAAAGAGUCCUUGGCUUAAGCUGAAAUCUUACUCCUGGUGUGGCAGAAGUCAAAAAUUGCAAGUUGGAGAUUGUUUCCUUUUUCUUAAUAGAAAGCAACAGUAAUUUUUUCUCAAGUAAAAAAUAAAGGAAUUCCUGAAGAUAUUUUUAAAGAAAUAAAUGUUUAACAGGCGUGUAAAACAGAUGUCCUAUAGAAGCUUUAGUUUCUACUAAGCAGCCAAUGGUGGGAUGUAGUUAUGGUUACCAAAUAGCUGAAGAUAAGCAUAGAGGUAGAUGUAUACUGUUUCUUUUGUCUCCUGGGGGAAAAAAUGACAGAACAUAAAUAUUUUACAAAACUUUUCAGUCCUGCUUACAUAAAUUGCCUGGCAUUUAAGAAGCUUAAGAUCUAAUUAAUUUUUUUUAUUCCCUUCCCUUUUAAAUUGGGAAGCUUUCUGCUCAUAUAGGCAGUUUUAAAACUAUAUUUUGUAAGUUAUUUUUAAAAUGGUACUUUUAGUAACUCAAGAGUACCUAAAAUACCUGAUAGAGUACAGUGAGACUGUAAGUAAAAUUAAACAGUAAAAAUUCAAAAAAAGGAUUUUCAUAAUUUUGCAUUAGAACUAACAGAAUAACUUCAAAUUCCAUUUCAGACUCACCAUGUCAUAUUUCAAGAGUACUGUUAACACCUGAAAAAACUUGGAUAAAAUCAGACACUUUUGUCAGAGUAGCUUACACGUUCUCUGCACAUUUGUCAAGAUAAACUAUAUAUAUUUAUACUGUAUGAUAGCACCAUAUAACAAGUCAUACCAAACACCAUGCUUUCUUUAUGCUUUAUGUUUUUUUGUAGCAGGAGACUUUCAAUAAAUAAAAGGGCUUACCUUUAAAAAUACUAGGCCAGGUGAGCAGCCUACAGAGUGCAUAUGGUUCAUGGCACCAUUGUGUAUGUCCUGGUGACUUCUCUACUGUGGAUUCUCCCAGGCGUUACUGACAGUGAAUAAAAGCCAUCAAUUUGUUGUGCAACUUGUGAGCCUGCACAUGAAAUCUCUAGGUUUCUUGAAUUACCUCCUGCAUCCAUGUUGGAAGGGGCUGCUGUUUGACUUCUGGAAGUGAUCAGCCAGACAAGAUAGGGAAGAGAUAUAAGGAGGCACAGACAAAUAGGAAAGGGACAUACUUUAUGGAGAAGAGGCAUAUGGUAAUGAAAUAAUGUGUCUAAGAUCUUAUGAGCUGUGUAAAUCAGAAAAAUAAGCAAACCAGACUUUGCUCCUGUGCUCUGGCCAUAAAAUAUUUCUCACCUCUCCUAGGUUUUCCCCUGAAACUUUUUCCUCCAAUAGAUGAUUUUUUCCUUCUUAUAAACAUGCAAUGAAUGGAAAUUUUAUAUUCUGCCUUCAACAAGUAUCAGAUACCUGUUAAUGCUAAUAAAAGCCGUGACAA